UACGUAGGGUGCGAGCGUUGUCCGGAAUUAUUGGGCGUAAAGAGCUCGUAGGCGGUCUGUCGCGUCGAAUGUGAAAACCCGUGGCUCAACCAUGUGGUCUGCAGUCGAUACGGGCAGGCUAGAAUUCGGUAGGGGAGACUGGAAUUCCUGGUGUAGCGGUGAAAUGCGCAGAUAUCAGGAGGAACACCGGUGGCGAAGGCAGGUCUCUGGGCUAUAACUGACGCUCAUGCACGAAAGCGUGGGGAGCAAACAGG
rnacentral:rRNA from 1 species